AUUGAACGCUGGGGGCAUGCCUUACACAUGCAAGUCGAACGGUAACAGGUCUUCGGAUGCUGACGAGUGGCGAACGGGUGAGUAAUACAUCGGAACGUGCCUAGUAGUGGGGGAUAACUACUCGAAAGAGUGGCUAAUACCGCAUGAGAUCUACGGAUGAAAGCAGGGGAUCGCAAGACCUUGUGCUACUAGAGCGGCCGAUGGCAGAUUAGGUAGUUGGUGGGAUAAAAGCUUACCAAGCCGACGAUCUGUAGCUGGUCUGAGAGGACGAUCAGCCACACUGAGACUGAGACACGGCCCAGACUCCUACGGGAGGCAGCAGUGGGGAAUUUUGGACAAUGGGCGCAAGCCUGAUCCAGCAAUGCCGCGUGCAGGAUGAAGGCCUUCGGGUUGUAAACUGCUUUUGUACGGAACGAAAAGCCCUGGGUUAAUACCCUGGGGUCAUGACGGUACCGUAAGAAUAAGCACCGGCUAACUACGUGCCAGCCGCCGCAGUAACAC
rnacentral:rRNA from 1 species